rnacentral:snRNA from 1 species
UUUGUGACUUUACCAUUUUGGA